rnacentral:rRNA from 1 species
GACGAACGCUGGCGGCGUGCUUAACACAUGCAAGUCGAACGGAAAGGCCCUGCUUUUGUGGGGUGCUCGAGUGGCGAACGGGUGAGUAACACGUGAGUAACCUGCCCUUGACUUUGUGAUAACUUCAGGAAACUGGGGCUAAUACCGGAUAGGAGCUCCUGCUGCAUGGUGGGGGUUGGAAAGUUUCGGCGGUUGGGGAUGGACUCGCGGCUUAUCAGCUUGUUGGUGGGGUAGUUGCUUACCAAGGCUUUGACGGGUAGCCGGCCUGAGAGGGUGACCGGCCACAUUGGGACUGAGAUACGGCCCAGACUCCUACGGGAGGCAGCAGUGGGGAAUAUUGCACAAUGGGCGGAAGCCUGAUGCAGCAACGCCGCGUGCGGGAUGACGGCCUUCGGGUUGUAAACCGCUUUCGCCUGUGACGAAGCGUGAGUGACGGUAAUGGGUAAAGAAGCACCGGCUAACUACGUG